rnacentral:rRNA from 1 species
UACGUAGGGCGCAAGCGUUGUCCGGAAUUAUUGGGCGUAAAGAGCUCGUAGGCGGCCUGUUGCGUCCGCUGUGAAAUUCCGGGGCUCAACCCCGGGCGUGCAGUGGAUACGGGCUGGCUGGAGGCAGGCAGGGGAGAACGGAAUUCCUGGUGUAGCGGUGAAAUGCGCAGAUAUCAGGAGGAACACCGGUGGCGAAGGCGGUUCUCUGGGCAGUAACUGACGCUGAGGAGCGAAAGCGUGGGGAGCGAACAGG